GACGAACGCUGGCGGCGUGCUUAACACAUGCAAGUCGAACGGAAAGGCCCUGCUUUUGUGGGGUGCUCGAGUGGCGAACGGGUGAGUAACACGUGAGUAACCUGCCCUUGACUUUGGGAUAACUUCAGGAAACUGGGGCUAAUACCGGAUAGGAGCUCCUGCUGCAUGGUGGGGGUUGGAAAGUUUCGGCGGUUGGGGAUGGACUCGCGGCUUAUCAGCUUGUUGGUGGGGUAGUGGCUUACCAAGGCUUUGACGGGUAGCCGGCCUGAGAGGGGGACCGGCGACCUUGGGACUGAGAGAGGGACCAGACGGGAACGGGAGGCAGCGGGGGGGAAUAUUGCACAAUGGGCGGAAGCCUGAUGCAGAAACGCCGCGUGCGGGAUGACGGCCUUCGGGUUGUAAACCGCUUUGGCCUGUGACGAAGCGUGAGUAACGGUAAUGGGUAAAGAAGCACCGGCUAACUACGUG
rnacentral:rRNA from 1 species